AAAUUGAAGAGUUUGAUCAUGGCUCAGAUUGAACGCUGGCGGCAGGCCUAACACAUGCAAGUCGAGCGGAAACGAGUUAUCUGAACCUUCGGGGAACGAUAACGGCGUCGAGCGGCGGACGGGUGAGUAAUGCCUAGGAAAUUGCCCUGAUGUGGGGGAUAACCAUUGGAAACGAUGGCUAAUACCGCAUGAUGCCUACGGGCCAAAGAGGGGGACCUUCGGGCCUCUCGCGUCAGGAUAUGCCUAGGUGGGAUUAGCUAGUUGGUGAGGUAAGGGCUCACCAAGGCGACGAUCCCUAGCUGGUCUGAGAGGAUGAUCAGCCACACUGGAACUGAGACACGGUCCAGACUCCUACGGGAGGCAGCAGUGGGGAAUAUUGCACAAUGGGCGCAAGCCUGAUGCAGCCAUGCCGCGUGUGUGAAGAAGGCCUUCGGGUUGUAAAGCACUUUCAGUCGUGAGGAAGGUAGCGUAGUUAAUAGCGGCGUUGUUUGACGUUAGCGACAGAAGAAGCACCGGCUAACUCCGUGCCAGCAGCCGCGGUAAUACGGAGGGUGCGAGCGUUAAUCGGAAUUACUGGGCGUAAAGCGCAUGCAGGUGGUUUGUUAAGUCAGAUGUGAAAGCCCGGGGCUCAACCUCGGAAUUGCAUUUGAAACUGGCAGACUAGAGUACUGUAGAGGGGGGUAGAAUUUCAGGUGUAGCGGUGAAAUGCGUAGAGAUCUGAAGGAAUACCGGUGGCGAAGGCGGCCCCCUGGACAGAUACUGACACUCAGAUGCGAAAGCGUGGGGAGCAAACAGGAUUAGAUACCCUGGUAGUCCACGCCGUAAACGAUGUCUACUUGGAGGUUGUGGCCUUGAGCCGUGGCUUUCGGAGCUAACGCGUUAAGUAGACCGCCUGGGGAGUACGGUCGCAAGAUUAAAACUCAAAUGAAUUGACGGGGGCCCGCACAAGCGGUGGAGCAUGUGGUUUAAUUCGAUGCAACGCGAAGAACCUUACCUACUCUUGACAUCCAGAGAACUUUCCAGAGAUGGAUUGGUGCCUUCGGGAACUCUGAGACAGGUGCUGCAUGGCUGUCGUCAGCUCGUGUUGUGAAAUGUUGGGUUAAGUCCCGCAACGAGCGCAACCCUUAUCCUUGUUUGCCAGCGAGUAAUGUCGGGAACUCCAGGGAGACUGCCGGUGAUAAACCGGAGGAAGGUGGGGACGACGUCAAGUCAUCAUGGCCCUUACGAGUAGGGCUACACACGUGCUACAAUGGCGCAUACAGAGGGCGGCCAACUUGCGAAAGUGAGCGAAUCCCAAAAAGUGCGUCGUAGUCCGGAUUGGAGUCUGCAACUCGACUCCAUGAAGUCGGAAUCGCUAGUAAUCGUGGAUC
rnacentral:rRNA from 1 species